ACGGCUCAGUAACACGUGGAUAACCUACCCUUAGGACCGGGAUAACCUUGGGAAACUGAGGAUAAUACUGGAUAGGCAAUUAUUCCUGUAAUGGUUUUUUGUUUAAAUGUUUUUUUUCGCCUAAGGAUGGGUCUGCGGCCGAUUAGGUAGUUGGUUAGGUAAUGGCUUACCAAGCCGUUGAUCGGUACGGGUUGUGAGAGCAAGAGCCCGGAGAUGGAACCUGAGACAAGGUUCCAGGCCCUACGGGGUGCAGCAGGCGCGAAACCUCCGCAAUGUGAGAAAUCGCGACGGGGGGAUCCCAAGUGCCAUUCUUAACGGGAUGGCUUUUCAUUAGUGUAAAGAGCUUUUGGAAUAARAGCUGGGCAAGACCGGUGCCAGCCGCCGCGGUAACACCGGCAGCUCUAGUGGUAGCAAUUUUUAUUGGGCCUAAAGCGUCCGUAGCCGGUUUAAUAAGUCUCUGGUGAAAUCCUGUAGCUUAACUGUGGGAAUUGCUGGAGAUACUAUUAGACUUGAGACCGGGAGAGGUUAGAGGUACUCCCAGGGUAGAGGUGAAAUUCUGUAAUCCUGGGAGGACCGCCUGUUGCGAAGGCGUCUAACUGGAACGGUUCUGACGGUGAGGGACGAAAGUUAGGGGCGCGAACCGGAUUAGAUACCCGGGUAGUCCUAACUGUAAACGAUGCGGACUUGGUGUUGGGGUGGCUUUGAGCUGCUUCAGUGCCGAAGGGAAGCUGUUAAGUCCGCCGCCUGGGAAGUACGGUCGCAAGGCUGAAACUUAAAGGAAUUGGCGGGGGAGCAC
rnacentral:rRNA from 1 species